rnacentral:rRNA from 1 species
UGGGGAAUAUUGCGCAAUGGGGGGAACCCUGACGCAGCCAUGCCGCGUGAAUGAAGAAGGCCUUCGGGUUGUAAAGUUCUUUCGGUAUUGAGGAAGGUUGAUGUGUUAAUAGCACAUCAAAUUGACGUUAAAUACAGAAGAAGCACCGGCUAACUCCGUGCCAGCAGCCGCGGUAAUACGGAGGGUGCGGGCGUUAAUCGGAAUAACUGGGCGUAAAGGGCACGCAGGCGGUUAUUUAAGUGAGGUGUGAAAGCCCCGGGCUUAACCUGGGAAUUGCAUUUCAGACUGGGUAACUAGAGUACUUUAGGGAGGGGUAGAAUUCCACGUGUAGCGGUGAAAUGCGUAGAGAUGUGGAGGAAUACCGAAGGCGGAGGCAGCCCCUUGGGAAUGUACUGACGCUCAUGUGCGAAAGCGUGGGGAGCAAACAGGAUUAGAUACCCUGGUAGUCCACGCUGUAAACGCUGUCGAUUUGGGGGUUGGGGUUUAACUCUGGCGCCCGUAGCUAACGUGAUAAAUCGACCGCCUGGGGAGUACGGCCGCAAGGUUA